GUCUGUGAUUAUUCAACCCAACCGUUUAAAAUGUUGUGGAGCUAAGACUCUGUUUACAGGGAGAACCUACUUGGUGAAGCUACAUUCAUUUGAUUUCAAUGGGUUCAACUGAGAC